rnacentral:rRNA from 1 species
AAUAUUGGACAAUGGGUGAGAGCCUGAUCCAGCCAUCCCGCGUGCAGGAAGAAUGCCUUAUGGGUUGUAAACUGCUUUUAUACAGGAAUAAACCACUUUACGUGUAAGGUGUUGAAGGUACUGUAUGAAUAAGCAUCGGCUAACUCCGUGCCAGCAGCCGCGGUAAUACGGAGGAUGCAAGCGUUAUCCGGAUUUAUUGGGUUUAAAGGGUCCGUAGGCGGCCUUGUAAGUCGGGGGUGAAAUCUCUUAGCUCAACUAAGAACUUGCCUUUGAUACUGCUUGGCUUGAAUCAUUAGGAAGUAACUAGAAUAUGUAGUGUAGCGGUGAAAUGCUUAGAUAUUACGUGGAAUACCGAUUGCGAAGGCAGGUUACUACUAAUGUAUUGACGCUGAUGGACGAAAGCGUGGGUAGCGAAC